rnacentral:rRNA from 1 species
GACGAACGCUGGCGGCGUGCUUAACACAUGCAAGCCGAGCGGAGCGUCGGACGGGGGAGUAAUACCUGGGAAUCUGCCUGGUAGUGGGGGAUAACGUUCGGAAACGGACGCUAAUGCCGCAUACUAUCAGAUGGGACUAGGUCGGCUUAGCUAGUUGGUGAGGUAAUGGGUCACCAAGGCUAAUAUCCGUAACUGGUCUGAGAGGAUGAGCAGUCAAACUGGAACUGAGACACGGUCCAGACUCCUACGGGAGGCAGCAGUGGGGAAGAUUGGACAAUGGGCGAAAUCCUGGUCCAGCCAGGCCGCGUGUAUGAAGAAGGCCUUCGGGUUGUAAAGUACUUUCAGCGGGGAGGCGUUACCCGCCGAAGAAGCACCGGCUAACUCCGUGCCAGCCGCCGCGGUAAUAC